AGUAACGGCGAGUGAAGCGGCAACAGCUCAAAUUUGAAAUCUGGCCUCUCGGGGUCCGAGUUGUAAUUUGUAGAGGAUGUUUUGGGUACCGCCCCGGUCUAAAUUUCUUGGAACAGAAUGUCAGAGAGGGUGAGAAUCCCGUCUUGGACCGGCGGUAGGGCCUGUGUAAAACGCCUUCGACGAGUCGAGUUGUUUGGGA
rnacentral:rRNA from 1 species